rnacentral:rRNA from 1 species
UACGGGGGGAGCAAGCGUUGUUCGGAUUUACUGGGCGUAAAGAGUGCGUAGGCGGUUUUCUAAGUUUGGUGUGAAAUCUCCCGGCUUAACUGGGAGGGUGCGCCGAAAACUGGAAGGCUUGAGUAUGGGAGAGGUAAGCGGAAUUCCUGGUGUAGCGGUGAAAUGCGUAGAUAUCAGGAGGAACACCUGCGGUGUAGACGGCUUACUGGACCAUAACUGACGCUGAGGCACGAAAGCGUGGGUAGCAAACAGG